ACUCAAAUGAAUUGACGGGGGCCCGCACAAGCAGCGGAGCGUGUGGUUUAAUUCGACGCAACGCGCAGAACCUUACCCAGACUUGACAUGACGCUGCAAGCCCAGGAAACUGGGUCGCCUUCGAGGGUGCGUCACAGGUGCUGCAUGGCUGUCGUCAGCUCGUGUCGUGAGAUGUUGGGUUAAGUCCCGCAACGAGCGCAACCCCCGGGUCCUGUUACUCGUGUCAGGACCGACAGCCGGUGCCAACACCGGAGGAAGGCGGGGAUGACGUCAAGUCCGCAUGGCCCUUACGUUUGGGGCGACACACACGCUACAAUGGCUGGGACAAUGCGUCGCGAGCCCGCAAGGGUCAGCUAAUCGCCUAAACCCAGCCCCAGUUCAGAUUGGGGGCUGCAACUCGCCCCCAUGAAGGCGGAGUUGCUAGUAACCGCCGGUCAGCCAUACGGCGGUGAAUCUGUACCCGGGCCUUGUACACACCGCCCGU
rnacentral:rRNA from 1 species